ACCUUCAGUGGUAUAGUUGGUAGCACCUUUGCUUAGUAAUAAUAAGUCCCAGGUUCAAGUCCUGGUCGGGGUA